UACGGGACGCAGCAGUGGGGAGUUUUUGGACAAUGGGGAAACCCUGAUCCAGCCAUCCCGCGUGUGCGAUGAAGGCCUUCGGGUUGUAAAGCACUUUUGGCCGGAAAGAAGCAGCGCAGGAUAAUACCCGUGCAACUGACGGCCACCUGCAGAAUAAGCACCGGCUAACUACGUGCCAGCAGCCGCGGCAAUACGUAGGGUGCAAGCGUUAAUCGGAAUUACUGGGCGUAAAGCGUGCGCAGGCGGUUCAGGAAGAAAGAUGUGAAAUCCCAGAGCUUAACUUUGGAACUGCAUUUUAACUACCGAGCUAGAGUGUGUCAGAGGGAGGUGGAAUUCCGCGUGUAGCAGUGAAAUGCGUAGAUAUGCGGAGGAGUUACCGAUGGCCCGAAGGCAGCCUCCUGGGAUAACACUGACGCUCAUGCACAGCACUUGGCGGGGAGCAAACAGGAUUAGAUACCCCUGUAGU
rnacentral:misc_RNA from 1 species